ACGUAGGGUGCAAGCGUUAUCCGGAAUUAUUGGGCGUAAAGAGCUCGUAGGCGGUUUGUCGCGUCUGUCGUGAAAGUCCGGGGCUCAACUCCGGACCUGCGAUGGAUACUGGUAGACUAGAGUGUAGUAAGGGUGACUGGAAUGCCUGGUGUAGCGGUGGAAUGCGUAGAUAUCAGGCGGAACACCGAUGGCGAAGGCAGGUUUCUGGGCUAUAACUGACGCUGAUGCGCGAAAGCAUGGGGAGCGAACAG
rnacentral:rRNA from 1 species